UGCCUUCUGUUGUACGCACGGUGUCGGUUCUAGAAAUUUUUACUCCAUUAUAUUGUUUUCUUAGACAAGGACAAAUAAGACUAUAGGAGCUAUAUAAUCAGACUUUGUUUAGAUGCACCCAAAAUUCUAAAAGUUUAUAAGAUUCUCAAUCACAUCGAAUCUUUAUACGCCUGCAUAAAGCAUUAAAUAUAGAUAAAAAAUAACUAAUUACACAGUUUACCUGUAAAUCAUGAGACGAAUCUUUUGAGCCUAGUUAGUCCAUAGUUAAACAAUGUUUGUCAAAUAUAAACGAAAAUACUACAGUGUUAAAUUUCAAAAAAAAAAAAUGCAUCUAAACAAGGCCUCAAUUGUCUCAUCGACGUAAGCAGAAGAUAUAUGGCCAAUAAUUAGCUUCUUCUCUCCCACCUAACACGUUACAUGGACAGAGCUCAUAUAGGAGAUAGACCACAUAUACAAAUUAUAUACUCCUAUGUUUUAGUGGUUGCCAACCAUUCUAAUCAGGUUAUGAUCCACAAUGAUUAAUUUCCACUACCGAGUACACUGCCG
rnacentral:lncRNA from 1 species